rnacentral:pre_miRNA from 7 species
AUUUCAACCCUAGAUAGUUCCAGUGUAAGACCCCCUUUCGGGGAUCCCCACUCUAGUCUCGGGAGUGUGAGAGCACCCAAAGAAACAUGAGGACCC